AUGGACAUGGGACACAUGCAUGCCAGGAGGCUUCUGUCGCACGCCGCGGCGACGCCGGCGGUGGCGGCGCCCGGCCCGUCGGGGCAGACGCCGCCCUCGAGCCCCUUCGGCUCCGUGGACGCAACGGUGAUCUCGAUCCUGUCGCUGCUCCUCUGCGUCCUCGUCGUGGCGCUCGUGGUCCGCGCGUUCGUCCAGUGCGCGUGCCGCGUCACGCGGCGCGUGUGCUACGGCCCGGCGGAGGUCCCCAGCGACGCAGAGGCCGGCGGCCUGGAGAGGACCGUGCUGCACGCCGCCGCCGGCGCCGGCGGCAAGAAGAAGCGGGCGGGCAAGGGCGCCGCCAUCCGGGCGAUCCCGACGAUGGAGUACUCGGCGGAGAUCGAGCUCGCCGUGUGCUGCUCCACCGAGUGCGCCAUCUGCCUCGCCGACCUGAAGCAAGGCGAGCGCGUCCGCGUGUUGCCGCGCUGCCACCACGGCUUCCACGUCCGGUGCAUUGACCGAUGGCUCUCCGCGCGCCAGACGUGCCCCACCUGCAGACAGGAGCCGUUCGUGCCGCAGGCCCGACCCGAGGAGCCGGCGGCCGUGCAGGUGCACGUCGACGCUGCACAGCUCGACACGAUCUAG
rnacentral:rRNA from 1 species